GGCAGUUUAGUUUAAUGGUAAAACACUUGACGUGUAAUCACAGAGAUGUGAGUUUGAGUCUCGUGGCUGGCC
rnacentral:tRNA from 1 species